CCUACGUGUGGCAGCAGUGAGGAAUAUUGGUCAAUGGCCGAGAGGCUGAACCAGCCAAGUAGCGUGAAGGAUGACUGCCCUAUGGGUUGUAAACUUCUUUUAUAUGGGAAUAAAACGUUCCACGUGUGGGACUUUGUAUGUACCAUAUGAAUAAGGAUCGGCUAACUCCGUGCCAGCAGCCGCGGUAAUACGGAGGAUCCGAGCGUUAUCCGGAUUUUUUGGGUUUAAAGGGAGCGUAGGUGGAUUGUUAAGUCAGUUGUGAAAGUUUGCGGGUCAACCGUAAAAUUGCAGUUGAAACUGGCAGUCUUGAGUACAGGAGAGGUGGGCGGAAUUCGUGGUGUAGCGGUGAAAUGCUUAGAUAUCACGAAGAACUCCGAUUGCGAAGGCAGUUCACUGGACUGCAACUGACACUGAGGCUCGAAAGUGUGGGUAUCAAACAGGAUUAGAUACCCCUGUAGUC
rnacentral:rRNA from 1 species